GCCGGGGCCCCGGCGGACAUGAUCUCCAUCCACAUCCGUUGGGGUGACAAGUGGAAGGAGAU
rnacentral:tRNA from 1 species